AGCCGCCGCGGGAACACCGGCGGCCCGAGUGGUGAUCGUGAUUAUUGGGUCUAAAGGGUCCGUAGCCGGUUGGUCAGUCCUCCGGGAAAUCUGAUAGCUCAACUAUUAGGCUUUCGGGGGAUACUGCCAGACUUGGAACCGGGAGAGGUAAGAGGUACUACAGGGGUAGGAGUGAAAUCUUGUAAUCCCUGUGGGACCACCUGUGGCGAAGGCGUCUUACCAGAACGGGUUCGACGGUGAGGGACGAAAGCUGGGGGCACGAACCGGAUUAGAUACCCGGGUAGUCCCAGCCGUAAACGAUGCUCGCUAGGUGUCAGGCAUGGCGCGACCGUGUCUGGUGCCGCAGGGAAGCCGUGAAGCGAGCCACCUGGGAAGUACGGCCGCAAGGCUGAAACUUAAAGGAAUUGGCGGGGGAGCACAACAACGGGUGGAAGCCUGCGGUUUAAUUGGACUCAACGCCGGACAACUCACCGGGGGCGACAGCAAUAUGUAGGCCAAGCUGAAGACUUUGCCUGAAUCGCUGAGGGGAGGUGCAUGG
rnacentral:rRNA from 1 species